rnacentral:siRNA from 1 species
AUUAGUGUAGGACAUGAGAAGCCA